rnacentral:lncRNA from 1 species
AUUAUACGAUGGGGAAGAGUACAGUUAUGAAUAUGAGGAUUCCACAGAUGAUCCCUUACUGUCAAUGGAAAAGCAAGGGGAGUUUGAAAUCACAACAGAAAGCACACUACAUGGAAUGAGCAAAGAGAGUGGCCUGACAACUUUAGGUCCAUAUCCAUCCCAGUCACCGGGUGACAGUGAAAAGAAGGGGGAAUUCAUCACACCUAUCCUUCCCAGCACAACAGAAGAAACAGAGAAGAUUUUCCCAAAAGAAAGCCCUGCCCAGUGUUCAAUAACAUGAAUACAUAGUCAGAUUGUGUCAUUAUACUGCGUACAUUGAGAUCUUUCAUCUGACUAACAACUGUGAACAUUUCACCAGUGCAAAAGGAUUCCACAGAUGAUCCCUUACUGUCAAUGGAAAAUCAAGGGGAGUUUGAAAUCACAACAGAAAGCACACUACAUGGAAUGAGCAAAGAGAGUGGCCUGACAACUUUAGGUCCAUAUCCAUCCCAGUCACCGGGUGACAGUGAAAAGAAGGGGGAAUUCAUCACACCUAUCCUUCCCAGCACAACAGAAGAAACAGAGAAGGACCUUUCCUAAAUCCACAAAGAUUGAGACUGUAGAUUUGUAAGCACGGAGUGUUUGUAUAAACUGUGAAGUGAAGUGUAUCGCUGGUGAGGAGCAGUCUACCCUUAACCUGACCAGCAUAACAUGAGGAGGGACUUCGCUUCGUCGCGCAAUGAUGAUGUCAUUUGUCCAAUGUCACUCGUCCAAUGCCACUUCUAUGACCAGAAUCGUUUCUUAUACUUAGUCCAAGUACCUAAAAGAUGAACAAUACAUAGGUAAAGCUAAGUUAAAUCAAGACAGUGUAUUAUAUAACGAUUAUUCGACUAAUAAAUUCUUCCAUCAGAUGUCAGUGUUAUUUUAGCGUUGACUUUGCAUAAACUAAUUUAUUUAUUAAAGAAGUUCAAAAUGUUACAUUGGACCUAAGCUAUAGUAUAGCUUCUCUCUGUUGCUUCAGUAUUCCAACACUUUUUACCUCCUCGUAAUUUGUUCAACCAUAUUCUAAUGUUUUCAGUGUAUCGCUGCUUAUCAAUUCCUCAACCAAACGUUAUUUAUUGAAAACAUGGAAAUAGAUUGUAUUUUGUUCCUUUUCUGUAUUAGUUACUACUUUUUCCAAUGAAAUGUGUUUCCAUCAUAUUUUUCAGAAUAUAUAGUAUUCAAACCUGUUUUCACUGGUGAAAUUUUGGCAGUCUAAAGUUCUCCCUUUGUAUUUAACCUCUCUGUGUGC